AUGACUGGUUUUACUGAUUCCUCCCUCUUGAAGAACUGUAAUGCCAUUAAUUUGGUGUUGCAGGGAAUCAGGACUGUUACUUUGAAAAAAUUAGAGUGUUUAAAGCAGGCUUUAGCUUGAAUACAUUAGCAUGGAAUAAUGAAAUAGGACGUUUGAUCCUAUUUUGUUGGUUACUAGGAUUGACGUAAUGAUUAAUAGGGAUAGUUGGGGGCAUUAGUAUUCAAUUGUCAGAGGUGAAAUUCUUGGAUUUAUUGAAGACUAACUACUGCGAAAGCAUUUGCCAAGGAUGUUUUCAUUAAUCAAGAACGAAAGUUAGGGGAUCGAAGACGAUCAGAUACCGUCGUAGUCUUAACCAUAAACUAUGCCGACUAGGGAUCGGAUGAUGUUAAUUUUUUAAUGACUCAUUCAGCGCCUUACG
rnacentral:rRNA from 1 species